rnacentral:rRNA from 1 species
UACGUAGGCACCAAGCGUUGUCCGGAUUUAUUGGGCGUAAAGAGCUCGUAGGCGGUUCGGUAAGUCGGGUGUGAAAACUCUGGGCUCAACCCAGAGAGGCCACCCGAUACUGCCGUGACUGGAGUGCGGUAGGGGAGUGGGGAAUUCCUGGUGUAGCGGUGAAAUGCGCAGAUAUCGGGAAGAACACCCGUGGCUAAGGCGGCUCUCUAGUACGGUACUGACGCUGAGACGCGAAAGCGUGGGGAGCGAACGGG